UCUUCAGUAAGGUACAUCCUUACCUGUUACUCCAAAAUGGAGUAUCAGUUUAUGAUGAAUGGAGCUUUAUGAGAUAUGAUUAGUAUCUCUGGCUUGUAGGGAACAGCAACACCCUGCAAGACCCAUUCUGAU